CCCUCUCUCUCUGCGCCGCUGCCAUCAUGGUGGCUGCUGGUGAGAUCAGCUCCCGCUCGCAAUCCGUCGCCAUCCGCCCCCCUACAGCUCUCUAUCCGCCAGCAGCCGCCGGGCCAGGGCAGCCACGACUCCCGUCGGACUUUGUGCGUUCCACGGACGGAGGCUGAGAUGCGAGAGGGACUGCGCCUUUCGACGGCUUCGCUGCCGCAGGAUGUCGGAGCGCUCCACGGACGGACGCUGAGAUGCGAGAGGGACCGAACCUCCUGACAGCAUCGCUGUUGCAGGAUGUCGGUGCGCUCCACGGACGGACGCUGAGAUGCGAGAGGGACCGAACCUCCUGACAGCAUCGCUGUUGCAGGAGGUCGGUGCGCUCCGCGGACGGAGGCUGAGAUGUGAGAGGGCCUGCGCUUCUCGACGACGUCGCUGCCGCAGGAGGUCGGUGCGCUCCGCGGACGGAGGCUGAGAUGCGAGAGGGCCUGCGCUUCUCGACGACGUCGCUGCCGCAGGAGGUCGGUGCGCUCCGCGGACGGAGGCUGAGAUGCGAGAGGGCCUGCGCUUCUCGACGACGUCGCUGCUGCAGGAGGUCGGUGCGCACCGCGGACGGAGGCUGAGAUGCGAGAGGGCCUGCGCUUCUCGACGACGUCGCUGCCGCAGGAGGUCGGUGCGCUCCGCGGACGGAGGCUGAGAUGCGAGAGGGCCUGCGCUUCUCGACGACGUCGCUGCCGCAGGUCCUACACAACUGCUUUACCUUGUGUUACAGACACAAAAUGCUGCAGUAACUCAGCGGGACAGGCGGCAUCUCUGGAGAGAAGGAACGGGUGACGUUUCCGGGUCGAUACCCUUCUUCAGACUUCGCAGGGCAGCAAGGAUAUCGAGAGGACUCACCGUUGUGUAUCUACAAUCAUCCCGUACGGGUGCAGCCAUUAUGGCCCAGGUAGGCGACUAGUACAUGGAACAUGAGAGGAAUAGAUCGGGUAGACGCAACGGAGUCUCAAUACAAUAC